rnacentral:rRNA from 1 species
UACGGAGGGUGCAAGCGUUAAUCGGAAUUACUGGGCGUAAAGCGUGCGUAGGCGGUUUAUUAAGUCAGAUGUGAAAGCCCCGGGCUUAACCUGGGAACUGCAUUUGAAACUGGUAAACUAGAGUAUGGUAGAGGAAAGUGGAAUUUCUGGUGUAGCGGUGAAAUGCGUAGAUAUCAGAAGGAACAUCAAUGGCGAAGGCAGCUUUCUGGACCAAUACUGACGCUGAGGUACGAAAGCGUGGGUAGCAAACAGG